AAUAUUGGACAAUGGGGGCAACCUUGAUCCAGCCAUGCCGCGUGUGUGAAGAAGGUAUUCGGAUUGUCAAGCCCUUUAAGUUGGGAGGAAGGGCUUUAGGUUAAUACCCUGAAGUUUUGACGUUACCAACAGAAUAAGCACCGGCUAACUCUGUUCCAGCAGCCGCGGUAAUACAGAGGGUGCAAGCGUUAAUCGGAAUUACUGGGCGUAAAGCGCGCGUAGGUGGUUCAGUAAGAUGGGUGUGAAAUCCCCGGGCUUAACCUGGGAACUGCUUUCAUAACUGCUGAGCUAGAGUACAGUAGAGGGUAGUGGAAUUUCCUGUGUAGCAGUGAAAUGCGUAGAUAUAGGAAGGAACACCAGUUGCGAAGGCGACUACCUGGACUGAUACUGACACUGAGGUGCGAAAGCGUGAGGAGCAAAC
rnacentral:rRNA from 1 species